CCCAUCUCCGAGCUCAUCUCAUCUCGAAGCUCUCUCUUCUCCAUAGCAUCUUGAGCUCGACCAAAGCCAUCUCAUCCUUUUCUCGCUGAGUCUUGAUGAAAUGGGCAGGAGGCUAAGAAACCAGAUAUUGAGAAGUGCUUAGAGGUUGUUGCCACUUUGGAAGCAAGGACGGUACUGGUGAGCUUUCAAAGCAAACAACGGUUCAAGCAACAGAAGUGGCGUCAAGCUUGGUGGAGACAAUACAAGGAGCUUGCAGGCUAGGAGGUUGCUUCAAGGCUAUGGUUUUGAUGGGUAUAUGAU